AUGACGAUGAAGAUGACGAAGAGGAGUUGGCUCCCCAGACACCGCCGGCUGCCACCAAGGCCCUCGACUCUGGAGGGAUGUGCGUGGGGCAUGACGCAGAGGCAAAUGAGGGUUGGCAGGAGGUGCUACCGCGGCGCGGCCAGCGUCGUCCGACUUCGUCGCCUUCCUCGACAAUGGCUCCUCGUCCCAUCCCCGCUUGGCUUCGCGGUAGAUGUUACAGAUGCUUCGCUCAUGGUCAUCGCGCGACUGUUUGCAAAGAGCCGUUGUGGUGCUCCCGUUGUUUGGAGAAUGGUCAUCGUGCGCGUGGAUGUUGCAACCCAUGGCGUCCUCUAA
rnacentral:rRNA from 1 species